rnacentral:rRNA from 1 species
CCUCCUUUCUGAAGAACUGUAAUGCCAUUAAUUUGGUGUUGCAGGGAAACAGGACUGUUACUUUGAAAAAAUUAGAGUGUUUAAAGCAGGCUAACGCUUGAAUACAUUAGCAUGGAAUAAUGAAAUAGGACGUUUGAUCCUAUUUUGUUGGUUUCUAGGAUUGACGUAAUGAUUAAUAGGGAUAGUUGGGGGCAUUAGUAUUCAAUUGUCAGAGGUGAAAUUCUUGGAUUUAUUGAAGACUGACUACUGCGAAAGCAUUUGCCAAGGAUGUUUUCAUUAAUCAAGAACGAAAGUUAGGGGAUCGAAGACGAUCAGAUACCGUCGUAGUCUUAACCAUAAACUAUGCCGACUAGGGAUCGGAUGAUGUUAAUUUUUUAAUGACUCAUUCGGCGCCUUACG